CUCUGCAUUCCGGAAGAGACAUCAUUGCUCCUCUUUGGACUCGCCUGGACAAUAGACGUGGAGGAACUAUCUCCUAUAGGCAGGAGACAAGCAGUGCUGCACUGACACAAGUCACAGCAGCUGUUAAGCGAUACUUCCCUAACAUACCCUUUGCUGCUACUUCAGCUUUUGUCGCUACAUGGGACAGUGUGCCAUACUCUAAUGGUGGAGGGGUGGCCUCUUUCCAAGUGGUUUUAGCCUACAAUGUCCAUCGCUCUUUCAUCCUGAUCUAUUAUGGAGAUGUUGCAGAAACAGGACAACCAUGGCAGGCUGGCUAUUACACUGUGGACUCUAUCAGUUCUUUCACAAUUCCAGCAUCCAGUGUCCCAGAACUCUCGUCGAG